rnacentral:rRNA from 1 species
UACGUAGGGGGCUAGCGUUGUCCGGAAUCAUUGGGCGUAAAGAGCGCGUAGGCGGCCAGAUAAGUCCGGUGUGAAAGUCACAGGCUCAACCUGUGAAUGCCGCUGGAAACUGUCUGGCUAGAGUCCGGGAGGGGCGAGUGGAAUUCCCGGUGUAGCGGUGAAAUGCGCAGAUAUCGGGAGGAACACCAAUGGCGAAGGCAGCUCGCUGGGACGUUACUGACGCUGAGACGCGAAAGCGUGGGGAGCAAACAGG